CAGAAUGUGGCUUAGCUGUAGAGCACAUGCCUUUCCAUUCAUGUGGACCCGGGUUUGAUCCCUGGCAUUGUAU
rnacentral:tRNA from 1 species